AUUUAAAAAAAAUUCAUUGAUUCUAUAAUAAACGGUCGAAAGACAACUUAUUCAAACUAGGCUUGAUUUUGAGCUUGAAGGCGUGCUUCUUUUCGAAGUGCACGUUUACGAAUGCUGAGGUGCAUUGCAGCAACUUGAGAAACGACAAACCCCUUUGCACUGCCCAACAAUUGUUCCAAAGACCAACUCAUUACGGCAUGGCUAGGAUAUGGUUGACUUAUGUAAGGAUUGGUUCCUCCACGCUGGAGACCAAUGCUACUUAAAGCAGCGCGAACAAACUUUUUGGGUGUAGGGAUUGUUAAUGUAGGUCGACGAACUUUUGACAUCGCUGAUACAACAAGAUAAGAAUUGAAACACCAAACGUCGAUACCCUGUUUCUUAACUUCCUCACCCAAAGAAGCAGACCAGUUAGACAAAAAGGCUUUAGAUCCGGCAUAAGUAGACAAAUAAGGAGAAGGAAGUAAGCCAGCGAAGGAGCCCAUAGUCAAAAUAAGGCAACGGGGACCCUUUUCAUUCUUCUGUCUCUCUCUGAGCAUGAUAGAAAGUACGGCCUUAGUGGUGUGAAGAGUACCAAAGCAGUUUAUAUGCAUAAUGUCAUCCAUUUCCUUCACUGUUGUUUCCGCAAAACUGGUAGGCAUAUAAUGAGAUUGGCCAACAUUGUUGAUAAGUACUGUAAUUGGAGUUCCUACUAAAUCUUGAUGAAGCUUCUCAAAAGUUUCGGCGGUCGUUUUGGUGUAAUCAAUUGCAAUAGUGCGAGUUUUGACCUUAGCAACAGUUUCGAGUUCUUUAGCUAAUGCAUCAAGCUUUUCUUGGGUUCUGCUUAUAAGAACCACAUUAAAUCCAGACAUGGCUAAUUGAGUAGCAUACUCUUUACCGAUUCCAUCAGUAGCACCUGUAACAACCGCCCAAUAACCUUUCUUGGCUCCGUAAACAGACAGCUAAAGAAGUUAGAGCACUGUCUAAGGAUUGAUAUAAUAGUUUUCUUACCUUGACACCUUUGGCAAAGAACGUCUUAUAAACGAAACUGGCAAAAGAUGUAAAUUUAAGGAUUGUAAACACAAUACCAAUUACUGAAAAUGCAGUUACUACUG